ensembl:snoRNA
CCCGCCACCAUGCCUGUCUUGUACUGAAGUGACUGGUGUACUCCAGUGGUGAGCUGAGAGGAAUCCCCAGCUUAGGAAGCAGGGCUGUUCUGUUUGUGGAGAGCUCUGUGCCGAAAGGCUGGGAACAUUG